ACAUUUUAGGAUAGCACUUGCGGUUUUGCUUGUGUCGAACGUUCUGCGACUGAAACAGCGAUAUGAUUUAGUUUACCCACUAGCAUCUGUCCAAAAUGUAACCAAGCCAGGCAGUUUUCACGGUCGGGAAAACUUUUAUGACAACGUCAGCUAAAGUCAGUGACUCACAGCGGUUGGAAAGGACGGUAACGAGACCGGUGGAUCUGAGAAGAUGAUCAGUAAAAAUGGAGCCCAGUCUUUCCCAGGACCGACCUUGGAAAUCCUCUUUUCCCCUGCCUUCGCUAUAAAGGAGGCUUUGUAGUGUCUUUGUGUCGUUCCUUUCCAACACCAUGAAGGGACUGGAUGCUGGGACAAGUGUUCCAAUUAACCGAGAAGCUCCCAAUUUGGUGAGGAGUGCAACCUGAACUCCUGCCCACAACAAGUAAGGAUGCUCCCCCCCCAAACCGACAAGCCGUCCCAAACCUGACCUGGUCUUGUCAUGCUAAUACCCUCCCUCCCAUAGGUCUCCUUGUUGAAAGACCUUCCAAUUGCUCUCUAUCGCUUGUUUGUUAGUUUUGCGCUAACUGCUCUUCACAGGCACUCUUCCCUCAUGUUUAUUCAUCACCUACUUAAAGGGAUGGACGUUGGACCUUAUUAAAACUCAAUCCAGCUCCUUUUCAUUAGGCACGAAUCCUUAGGUUGGGGGUCAAUCGGUCUGGUCCUGGGGGGGCAUGACCCUGGGAACAAUGGUGCUCUGAGGGGUGACGAUGGAGAAGCAUCCCAUUCAGAAUGAAUCCGGAGGCAUGGCAAUGGCCACAUGAAAGGGACGGUGGCAGAGACAUGAAAGAGGGGUGUGAGGGGCUUGAGCUGAAAGAUUCAUCCAAUUAGAGGAUCCACCUGCAUCAGGCCACCAGUGAAAGGAGGAGUGUGGGAGUGAAAGAGACGUCUUAUAAUAGCUGCUAAUUGGAGAGUUGAUUGCUUGCCUUCUCAGUCAAUCAACCUGACCUGAUUGACAGGACUGAGGAGUUUGAGGGUAGUAGACAUGUUGAAAAUGUAAAUGGGAAACCUAUCCAGACUAGUUUCAGCAGAAAGAGGCAUAACACGGGGGAAAAGCAGUGAUGCCUGUGAGUUUGUGGAAUACUCAUGACGGAAUUCAUAAUUAGCUGCACUUGUUUUUAGCAUAGUUGCCUGUUGUGAAGCUCUUGCUUUCCACGGCAUCGAAAAUGAGGGGAGUCCUCAAACACUAUCAUGACACACAUUAGAGCUUUGAAACAAAAUACAUAAUUUAAUUUGAUUAACAGUGACGUUUUACCACUGAUUUCUUCAUUCUCACACAGAACUCAUACUAAACGAUUCUCUUGGCCCUCCUAUAUUUGAAGAUUUUCCUUUACUUUCGCUAACUUCUCAGGAGAGGAGAAAUAUUUGUGGCUGCUAUUGAAAGAAUGUGAGAAUCUCAUUGGACAGAAAUGUCCUCAUGUAAUACUGUGGGAAUUUAGUGUUUCACCUGGUUCACGAUUAACCACUUCUGACAGUUUCUAAUUUACUUGUUGUGUUUAUUUGUUGGAGCUGAAAAUACUCAGUGGGAAAAGGAAUGCCUCGCUGACUGUCUCUGUGGUUAAGCUUGGCCCUUCCCAGGUGUUCACGUAAUAGGGAAAAAAUUGAAACGUUGUGAAGCACUGUUCUGUUGAAUAAUGUGUAGGAUGAGGCAGUUCUGAGCUGAUUGUAUGUAAACAACAGAGCAGAAUCUGGAAUGUCUAUGGUUUUAGCUCUUUAGCAUGUUUGUGGACAUUUUGUAUCAGAAAGUAUUCAUAAUUUCUUCUCAAUGCUAAUUGAAUGAUUAUUAAAAACAAUGUGGAAAUUGAAAUAUUUCAGAAUUUCUGAAAUUGCAGAGCAGUGAUUUCCCAUUAAGAACUUCAGCGAGAAACAACAGCUGCAUUUCACAACAUCUGUGUUCUUUGGAGUGCUGAAUUGUAUACUGUACGGGCCGUUUGGGCACACCCACCGCACUGCUGCCACGGCAACUUGCACGCAGCUCGCGGAAAGCGGAGCCGUGGCCCUGCCCACCUACGCAGAGUCUUUUCAUUGGAGGGAAGACAAUGAGGCAGGAAAUCAAUGGAGGAACACAUCUGCUCAGUAUAGAGAGAGCGAGGGGUGUUCAUCAGGACUGCUUUCAGGUCAUCCCAAGCACGCAUCCCCCCCAUCAGACUCUGAAUGAGUCCCCAAUCACAAAUCUAGCGGAAAGGCAGAGGACUAGAAUUACAGCUAAUGAUGAGGUGGGACCCCUGAUUAUGUGGGGGGUUACCAGAGCCCGGGGCCUGGUCCUAAUGGGGAUUAAUUGAUUGGAAUAAACUGAUUGACAGGCUCCUUUAAUCAAUGCCUCUGUUCACAAGCACCAGUGUUUAAAUUUUCUUCCUUCACUGCCUGUGGAAAAAAGGCUCACAGCCUCUCUGAGCUGUUCCUACAGAGCGGGAAGAGAGGAGAGAGGAAAGAACAAACAACAACAACAAAUGGCUUCAGAAAACAGCCAGAUCUGAGACAAUGAGCGAGAUGACAAAAGUGAAACCAUCCCUCUUUAAACCCCCUUUCUACUGCCAUCUGGACGUCUUUAGUGUGUUUAAACCUGAGAAAACGGUUGGUUAUAAUUGAACCCCACCCCCCCAGCCCCCCAAAGUCAAUGUCCUCUCUCAAAUCAGCGAUCAUGGGAGUUAGUG